rnacentral:lncRNA from 1 species
ACGUGACUUUUGAGAUUCUGGAGGGUGGUGAGAUCUACUCUUCCUGAGGCCGCCCAGGAGGUUGAGUCCACGAGCACGCCUGAAUAAGCUACAACCUACUUUCCAUCUCAAAGUUGGAUCUCCAGGGAACUCAGCCUACACUAUUGAACACCUCCAUCUGAGAAUACUGCUGAGACCAGCUCAUUGCUGUCUAGGUCUGUUGCAUGUUUAUCAUUCUGGUCUUCUCUUCAUUAUCGUCUGCAUUUAUAGGAUCUUAUGUCUCCCUUUUUAAUUGUUUUCGUAUUCAUUUUGUUGGAGCGCAACCUGCAGUAGAUUUCCUAAGAAUAAGCAAAAGAGCUAAAUUUUUGUCUAACCCUUUGGUAUCAUCCUUCAUCCUUUGUGUUUUGCAUUUCCAUGAUUAUAAGUCUUGCUCUAGAUUCUUAAAAAUUUUUAUUUAUUAUACCAGACAAUUGAUCUAGGAGUCAUUUUUCUUUUUCCUAUUGUUUCUUACAUAAUUUUCUGCUUUCUACUUUGUCUUUCUAGAUGACGAGUAAAUUAUUGAUAAUUUGACUUAUAAGUUUUGUUAAUUAGAUAUUGGGCUUUUUGUAUGGAUUAAGUUUCUAAUUUCCUUUUCCUGAUAUUUUUACCUUUCUGUUUUAUUUUUUUGAGAUUUUCCUGACUCUUCCAAACUUGCCAUUAAUUUUUACAUUUCAAUUGUCUUAUUUUUAGCUUCCAAAUUCUUUAUUAUUCCUGAUUUUUCCUUUCAUAUAGCAAAUCAUUCUUGUUUUAGAAAUGCAAUUCUUUUAUUUCCUCAAGAAUAUUAAUUGUAGUUCCUUAUUAAGUUUUAUUCUGCUUCUUGCAUUGUUCCCGUUUCCUCUUAUUUCUCUUUAUUUGUUUUUUGUCUAUAUUUUCUCAAUGGCUUUCCUCCUCUACCUAACGAUUUCUUUGCUGUUCAUUUAAAUUUAAAAGUGAGCUAUAAAAAAAUUGCAUGUGGGGAAGUUUUGUGUGCAUGGCAGAGCUUAUCUGCUGGCGAGUUUCACUGUAUGAUUACGUGACGAAGCCAGCCUUUUUAUGUGAGAGUACUGUUUUUGGCAUAUUGUGGUUUGUACUUUUUCCAAAGAAGA